rnacentral:misc_RNA from 1 species
UCUCUACUGGUGUAUCUAUCGUGUUUGCAAGUACUACAAGGAGAUACAGAGCAUUGAAGAAGUAGAAAAGAGAUACAAAGACCAGUAGCUGUCUAUCUAUGCACCAAUCAUAUUAUUCAAGGCUACUUGUAGCUGAAGUAACAUCUACACCAUGCAAUGUUAACAUAUUAUGAGUCUUGUGUUUGCUUUACAAGCCAUCAUUAUGAAUCUUUUACUACUACAUAUUGAAAAGAGUUUGCG